AAGGAAAGUAUUUGUAACAUUAGAGUCUAAAAUAUGGUGCAGUGUUUUGUUGCUGUACAGUCUCCAGUACGCGACUGCAAAAAUAACAGAAGAAACUUUUAAUAAUAGUUUUCUAGUCAUAGUUUAAUUUUAGACAGCUGCAUCUCUCGAACUUCUAUUGAAGGGGAAGGAACUUUAAUCUUACAAAAUAAGAGUUGUCUUAUCUACAAUAUUGAGAUCCAGCUGACCAACAAGCACAGCAUUGUCCAACUGGUUCCUGCAAUAAUAAAACAGAAUUCAACAGAAUAUCAAAAUGAUUCCGCAGAAAAUGAAAACAAUAAGCAAAUAUCAGUCAACUUUUACGAGCUCAGUUUGCUAGAAAAUAGUGACGAAACUUCUAAAAUACCCAUUAAGUUAUCAAACUGGAAGUUGAAAAAUUUUAACGACAUUAAUACUAAUAAAUAUUUAAGCAGGACGCCGUUCUUGACGAUUGAGAUAUUUGUAGAAGGAGAUCGAAUGGUGUCCGAAUUUGGCUUUGCUUAUCAAGAACUUAAGUUUGAGUCUAACGAAUUCACCUACAGGGAAUCAAAAGGUGUCAUUAUGCAGAGUUCGCCUUAUAGACCAAAUUCUGUGUGCAUACAUCAAUUGUGUAAACCAAAGGACAUGAAUAAGAGCAGCAUCGAUAUUACAGUA